UACGUAGGGUGCGAGCGUUUGUCCGGAAUUAUUGGGCGUAAAAGAGCUCGUAGGCGGUUUGUUGCGUCUAUCGUGAAAACCUGCGGCUUAACUGUGGGCUUGCGGUGGAUACGGGCAGACUUGAGUUCGGUAGGGGAGACUGGAAUUCCUGGUGGAGCGGUGAAAUGCGUAGAGAUCGGAAAGAACACCAACGGCGGAAAGCACUCUGCUGGGCCGACACUGACACUGAGAGACGAAAGCUAGGGGAGCGAAUGGG
rnacentral:rRNA from 1 species